UAGAAAUCUAUAUUUUUUAUACCCAAAAAAUUUAUAGUCUUGCUUGUUUGAUUGGAAAACAAAUUGUACUUUCUUAUUGUUAUAGGAGAGGAAGAGCUUUUAGAGAUGAAGGAACCAAAAAAUAAAACAAGUUGAGAAGUAAUAGAAACGGGAUAUAUAAAUAGUGUGUUUAGCUUCUGUUAACCUACCUACCCCAAGGUUAACAUUUAACCCCUAAAAAGA
rnacentral:misc_RNA from 1 species